rnacentral:rRNA from 1 species
CGAGUCGAAUGGGAUAUCCAAAUUUCCCAUGGCGAACUGCUCAGUAACACAUGAUCAACUUGCCCUAUAGAGAGAGAUAACCUCGGGAAACUGAGGAUAAUUUUUCAUAGUUGAAUUGGCUUGGAAAAGUUUUUCAACUAAAAUGAAUAAGGAAAAUGGUCCUUAUUCGCUAUAGGAUAGGAUCGUGCUCGAUUAUGGUAGUUGGUGAGGUAAAGGCUCACCAAGCCGAUAAUCGAUAGGGGCCGUGAGAGCGGGAGCCCCGAUAUGGGUACUGAGACAACGACCCAGGCCUUACGAGGCGCAGCAGGCGCGAAAUCUCCACAAUACACGAAAGUGUGAUGGGGUUACCCAAAGUGUUCAUUAUUGGACUGUGGUAGGUGAGUAAUGUCCCCUACUAGAAAGGAGAGGGCAAGGCUGGUGCCAGCCGCCGCGGUAAAACCAGCUCUUCAAGUGGUCGGGAUAAUUAUUGGGCUUAAAGUGUCCGUAGCCGGUUUAGUAAGUUCCUGGUAAAAUCGGGUAGCUUAACUAUCUAUAUGCUAGGAAUACUACUAUACUAGAGGGCGGGAGAGGUCUGAGGUACUACAGGGGUAGGGGUGAAAUCUUAUA